rnacentral:lncRNA from 1 species
UUUUUUAUCAGUUAGUUGCCCCGCCUCUGUAGUUUUACCAGGAAUGGGGGGUAAAACUGGAAUUCCUGGAAUUCCUGGAAGGGGAGGGAGAGGAGGAAGUUGUGGCAAUGGUGGAAGAAAAGGGACUGUAGGAAGAGGAGAAAGAUCAGGUAUUGUGGAGUUUUGAGUUAGUUGCCCUGCCUCUGUAGUUUUACCAGGAAUGGGGGGUAAAACUGGAAUUCCUGGAAUUCCUGGAAGUCCUGGAAGGGGAGGGAGAGGAGGAAGUUGUGGCAAUGGUGGAAGAAAAGGGACUGUAGGAAGAGGAGAAAGAUCAGGUAUUGUGGAGGUUUGAGUUAGUUGCCCUGCCUCUGUAGUUUUACCAGGAAUGGGGGGUAAAACUGGAAUUCCUGGAAUUCCUGGAAGUCCUGGAAGGGGAGGGAGAGGAGGAAGUAGUGGCAAUGGUGGAAGAUAAGGGAGUGUAGGAAGAGAUGGAAGAUCAGGUAUUGUGGGGUUUUGAGUUGGUGGUGGAAAUGUGAGCUCAUCAGUUGGAGGAAAUGAGAAUUUCCGAGAACUGAAUUCCUUGGAGUUUUGAAUGCUUGGUUUUUGGUUACAUAGGCUUGGCUGCUUUAGAGGCUUAAAGGUGAAGAACCCAGCUGAGAAAAUGUGUGUUCCUUGCUUUCUUGACUUGAGAUGCAGUGAAGAUGAAGUGGCUAUUGAGGCCACAGCACAAUAUGGUUCACUGCUGCUGAUUAAUUUCACAGAACACCCUUCAAUUUUCUUGACAUGCUUGCUCACAGAGAAAGGCAGAUGAACUCUGAACACUCCAUGGCUAUCUGUUUUCACUUCUGUCUGGAAACUUGGUUUUGAACUCCCAUCUUUGCAUUCAACACCAACAGAAGCCCCUGCAGAAAAAAUAAGUUGAAAAAUAAGUCAACUGAACGCAAAAUUCACAGUAUAAAAAGCACUUUUUAAUUGAGUUGUUGUUGGAAAAUUUGAAAUGAACCUGAAAUGAAGUGGCUGGCAUGUGAGAAUUCUGCUUGGAAACAUGUGUCACAGUAGACAGUGCCUACAACAACUGCAGAUGGGGUCUUCUUCUCAUGGCUAGCUUCUGAGGGAGUACUUAGUGAGAGAGUACUGAUCAAAAAGAGUACUGUAAAAAACCAAGACAUUUUAGAGCAUCUAUUGCCUCUGAGCAACUCUAACUCUAAGAAUGAGUAGAUGUAGGUUGCCUUUUUAUAUAAAUUCCUGAGGCUUAUAGCUGAUAUAAAUAUUCUCUACAGCAUUCAUUAUACACUUUUUUUGUUUCUUUCUGGUUGUUUCGAGGCAUAAAAAAUGAACUUUUUUCUUCAAAUUUUAUAGCCUGCUGGGCCAUCAAGGUAAUUUAUUUCACUCAUGCAAAAACCAGUCAACUGCAAACUAGAAGAAGUGAAUGUAGGUUCAUUUCCUACCACCAAACAACCCAAAAAAGAAGGUUAAUACUGUGAUUGUGAGGUAGAUAUAAAGAGGCCCCUAACUUUUGCUUUGUUUGCUUACAUUUAUUGAGUUUGUUUCUUUGUUUGGUGUAAGAAUUCUAAAGAGAAUAGUUGGGUCCCCGUUGGUUCACGAGACAAGUGGAGUAACCACAAAUUUCAUGAGUCCGAAGCUGUACACUAUCAACAACACAGGUUGAAGAUGUUGUUGGGUUUAUUUAUGUAUGUUCUUCACACAGAAACAAAAUGAUGGGCGCCUACUAUGAGCUGCUCUCAGUAAUAUAUAUCUGUGCAAAUUGAAAAACUCCCCAAGUACCAAACAAAGUUUACAACUCAAUGUAUGGAUCAGAAUCUUAUUAAUAAGGCUUUUUGGUUCAGAAUGUUAUGAUAAUCAUUAGAUUCAUUUAUUACAAUUUGCUUUAAAUUUUCUAAUUGUUUUUAACAAGUCUUUUCAGUGCAGGUGAUCCAUAAAUAGGUAAAGUAAACAGUCAAGUGAUUGCAACCGAAGAGUCUUUUCCUCAGUCUUUUGACACAAAGUUUUCUGACAAAAAAUAAAUAAAUAAAAUUUAGAUUUUAGCAACAAAAAAAUUUUCACUUUUGAAAAAAUCUAAAAAAAUUUCGAAAAAGACAUAAAAACUCCUUAACUUUCAAACCAAAAGACAUGCAAAUAUAAAUGAUUCCUUUGGAAAUCCAAAAAUAAUAAGGGCAUUUUUGUCUAUUUUUGCUUAUUUUCAAAAUAUUUCUCUCUAUUUUGGCAUUUUCCAAAAUAUCCCCAAAAAAAAACGACAAAGUUUAGACAUCAUCAGCAAUUAUAAGUCACUUGAGCACAGAUGUAUAUUCAAUAAUUGGUUUGGUUCAAAAACUACCAAUCUACAUAGUACAAUGAUUGUGGGACUGAUUAUUGGGAAUUUGUGAGACUUAUUUUAGCAGAAAAUGGACAAUGCAUAUGGCAUGCAAUGAUCCAAACUCAAAACAAAGAAGCUACGACUUCCAAGUAUUUGAGCAAUUUCAAGCCAACUCAGAAAUCUCUGUACUCUGUAGGCUUAUAAGACACUCUCCCAUGUGUUGAUGUUGCAUACAGAUUCCCUUUGCAUCAAUAUCCUUCCAUUCCAACAGUCUGUUUUUUUUUUUUUCUUUUUUAAAUUCAAUUUUCCACAUUUUUUACUGUCCGUCAAAUGCAUAGCAUUUUGGGUGAAAAAGAAAAACAAGAACUUCUACUACUGACAAAAGAGACACCAGUCACACCACAGAGGCACAAACUCCAGAAUUAUGAUAAUUACAUCCUGCAUUGGAAAUUGACAGAUUGUCUUCACGUUCCCCACAGUUUUGCAUUGAGCUGCUAACAAUCCCACAAACUUGCACCGUUUCAUUCUUUGUCCGUGGGCCACAAUUUUUGACAAAUUUGACAAUCUAAUAAGGCGGUUCCUGACAAUCCAAGGUUAUCUCCAUGACAACCACAAGCCACUGUUUCACUGUUAUCUUGUGAGGAAAUUGAAAUGUAACACCAAAUUUUCUUUUACACAGUGCAAGAGAUAAUGCAUGUUAAAAGUUAAAAAAACAAAAGGGGGAUGUUUUUGUCUAAUUCUAUGAUGUACAAAACAUCUCUUUGUCCUUCACGGGUUCCAAAACACAAUGUCACCUCUUCACUUCACGGGCGACCUUAAGCCUGUGGGCUGAGGGCCUUCGUGUCUGCUUGUUGAAUGUGGAGUUUUUCAGCCGAUGGAUACCAUUCCCAAAUGGAUACGUCAAGCUUGAAACAUACGAUGAGAUUCUUGAUUAGAUCCUUGAUGGCUUGUCCAUUAUUAUUGAAUUGAAACAACAAAGUUUGAUUGGUAACAAGGUUUGCCAACUCGAAGGGUAAGAUUGUAGCCAAUCAACUAAACUUUUUAGUGUCAGGUGCAUCCACUGAAUGUAAGGUCUCAUAUUUGAUUUACAUAAAUACAAAGAUGAUAUUUAUUUGUGACGGGUGUAUAGCUUUGUUGUGGGUACGCUUCUCAUUGUAAAAGUAUAUUUGUAAUAACAUCAGUAAUUUUUUCUUUUGUAUUAAAUAACAUUAGACACCUCAUUCAUGCAGGGAAGUUCUUUUAUCACAUUGAAUGUAUAAUGUAUAGCAGCAAUUUUCAUCCGUACAAUAAUGUAAUCAUCAGCAUGUGAUAUUUCUGUUUGUUCUUCUAUCUGAGUUUGUAUUUAUUCCAGUCUGAAUGCUUGAUAUGGAGAAAGAAAGUACUUGAUGAGCCAUCUGUCCAUGAAAUCAUUGGUUUCUAAAACAGCAUAAUAUUUGUAGAACAAAACCAUAGAUUAAAUUGUUAGAUUUCUUUAUGCACAAACAAGAUCUUUCACACAAAACUGUAAUACGUAUAAAGACAUGAAGACAUAUCUGGAGCCAUUUUCCUUGAGUACACAGCUUCUAAACUCAUCCAAUCCGUAGCAGCAGCAAUCCUAGCAAGAAUAGGAAUGGCUCAAGACUUCUGCUCUCUCUCAGAAUCUGUUUCAGCUCUCUCUUUAUAAUGAGAAUAGGUUUAAAGAACGUGUCUGAUGAGAGCAGGGCCUUAAGCUUAUAUAGGGCUAGGUCAAGUCGUCUCUAUUCAUCACCUAGGGCUGACUUGACUAAUCUUCCAAGUCCACCAGAUUGGUUCACGCAUAAAUGGAAAUAAAUAGGACCCCUUAAUAGGCCUCAAAACCCUUCCUUAUUUCACUAAGUUUUGGGCCUCAAUGUACAACUUAAUUUAAACUUUUAUUAAAAUAUAAUAUAACUUAGUAUCUAGUACACCGAUCUAAAUAGGAAAACAUAACAUAAAUAAACCCAGCUGCAAGUUUGUAUAUUGGACUGGAGUGGUACCAUUUGCAGAACAAAACAAUGUGAUACAGCGCAAACUAUAUUGGCCAGUUUGCAGAUUCGAAGAAAUAAUGCAAAAUAAUCACAACCAUCAUCUGUAUGCAAAAACAAAAAAACAAAAACAAAAAAAAAACAAAAACAAAAAAAACAAAAAAAAAAAAAAAAAAGAAGAAGAAAGAAAGAACAAUCAACGAUGCUUGUCAUAAAAAACAACUGCAGAUGGGUGCUUCUUCUCAUGGCUAGCUUCAUGAGGGAGUACUUAGUGAGAGAGUACUGAUAAAAAAGAGAACUGUAAAAAACCAAGACAUUUUAAAGCUUCUAUUGCCUCUGAGCAACUCUAACUCUAAGAAUGGGUUGAUGUAGGUUGCCUUUUAUAUCAAUUGCUGAGGCUUAUAACUAAAAACUAAUAUAAAUAUUCUCCACAGCAAUCAUUAUAAUUUUGUUUCUUUCUGGUUGUUUUGAGGAAUGAAAAAUGAACUUUUAGUUUUUUUUUUUCUUUCAAAUUUUAUAGCCUUGCCCAUCAAUAGUUUCUUUAUUUCACUCAUGCAAAAACCAGUCAACUGCAAACUAGAAGAAGUGAAUGUAGGUUCAUUUCCUACCACCAAACAAUCCAAAAAUAAGGUAAAUAUUGUGAUUGUGACUGUGAGGUAGAUAAAAAGAGGCCCCUUAAUUUUUGCUUUGCUGGUUAUUUGUCUACUUAAAUUUAUUGAGUUUGUUUCUUUGUUGGCGUAAAUACUAAAGAGAAUAGUUGGUUCACAAGACAAGUGGGGUAACCACAAAAUUUCAUGAGUCUGAAGCGUUACACUAUCAACAACGUUGAAGAUGUUGUGUUUAUUUAUGUAUGUGCUUCACACAGAACCAAAAUGAUGGGGGCCUAUUAUAUUGGUUAGAAGUACAAAUAUAUAUCAUCUCUAUAAAAAAAUCACUUGAAUCCGAUAUCAUUUGACCACUCAAUUAAAUUAUUGAAAUUUAAGUACUUUCUUGAAGCACCAUGUUCAUUGAUUUUCUUGGUCUCAAUUAGAUGUCUUAAUGAUUUUCAAUUUGCGUGAUUUUUUGCAAGGAUGAUCUCUGAAUGAAGAUGUGAAAAAUAGAUCGUUUGGAUCGUUGAAAAAAAUUUCGCAGAGAAUCCUACACCCUCAAAAUAAAAUUAUUUGAGAAAUCCCUCAAUAGAAGGGGACUAUAUAAUCUGUGAAAAUUGAAAAACUCCCAAGUCCGAAACAAAGUUUACAACUUUCCAUGGUGUCAGAAUAUGUGGUUUGAGCAGAGCACGGGAUCUUCUCGUGACCUAAUGUGGCAUAUUAAUAGGGUUUUUGCUUGGAUUAAAAUAAUAGCAAUGUGAGACCUCCAAAUCUCAUGGAGGUUUUCUACUUCUAUGAGCAUAGAACAACCCCUGAAUCAUUAGAUUCAUCUAUUGCAAUUUGCUCUAAAAUUUCUAACUGUUUUUAACUGCAUAAAAAACAAGACUUUUUGUGCAGGUAGUCCAUAAAUAGGUAAAGUAAUUCCGGCCAAAUUAAAAGUGUCAUGUGAUUACAACCAAAGAGCCUUUUCGUCAGUUAUUUGGCACAAAGUUUAGAACCUUGUAUCACCACUAUCAGUAAUUAUGAGUAAUUUGAGCACAGCUGGGACAACAAUAAAACAAUGUAUAUUCAAUAAUGCAUCAGUGACAAUUGACUGCUAUGGAUAAUGGGUUUGGUGAAAUAAAAAACUACCAAUAUACUACAUACAACAAUGAUUUUGGGAUUUGAUUAUUUGGAAUUUGAGAGACUUACAUUUAGCAGAAAAUGCACAAGCAUAUGUGCGUUUACCCUAAACAUGUUCAAACCUCAGAGAUAGGCUUUAGAUUGUGUGAAUUGUGAACGUGCCACUAUUAGUGGUGUAAAACCCUAAUAGACUUGAAAGAGAAUUAAGUAACUUGCGCACCAAGAAAACUCACUGAAAUCAAAUAAUUGUGAAUUGAAAUGGUAAACUAAAUCAAAGUUUCUUUUCCAUGCCUCAAGACAAAUGACAACUUUAUAAUUUCUCUAAAACAAUAAGGGUAAUAAACAACAAAUAAACAAGUAAACAAAAGGGAUCCAGAUCAAGGGAUCUUAUUAGAUAAUAAAUUGCCACCACCUUGGAUCACUUCUGAUUGAAUUCAGAGGUUAAGGGUCUAGUGGCAAUAGCAGUAGUAUAUCACAUCACCUUCAAUUGAUGAAGAUCAAUUGGAAAUCGAUACCAGAGACAGAUCUGGCAGAGCAAUUAUCAAGAAAGAUAUAGCAUUUGAGAAGGAAUUAGGGUUUGUACUGAAUUUAUUGUUGAAAAGUUGUGUUUGUUAUCGUGAGCUAUCUAUUCCCUUUUAUAUGAAUUUUGACUUGGUGGAGAGAGAUUACAACCUAUGUCAUGCCAUCAUGAGGAUCAAAUCAUAAUCCAUUGGAAUUAAUUAUUUAGUUGAUUGCCUUAAUCGUCAAGUAAUAUCAUGAUUUCUCCUUGAUUUUCUAGGUAAUUAUCAAUUAAUAGAUAAUUCCCUUUCCCAGCCACUUAAACUGGCCCAAGGAAUCUUAACCGGAUUGCAAUACUAAAAUCCCCCCCAAAUUGGCUUAAAUCUCAUCUGUAUAAAAACUAGGCCUAAACAUUACCCCAUAAGCCCAAUAGACUUGAUUAGAGGGAUUUGGGGUUACAUGCAUGAGCGUGACACCAUGCGUCGUUUUCAUUUCAAUCACUUCAAUCGCGCCAUUUUGACUUCUACUUUAGUCUUUCGAACCUUUCUAUCUUCUUCUCACUACGAAGCCUAGAGAUUCUUAGCGAUUAUCGAUACCUUCAACUUUUCCAAACUUUUGUUACCGAAAGUCUCAAGUUUCACCACCCCCUAACCAAUUCUCGUUUCAGAAACCAUUUCUUUGUCUCAAUGGCCACCUCUGACUCCAACGUCCCAAAGCCUAUCUCUGAAAAAUAUGCUAUUAUAUAUGCAUGCCCAAGACAUUUGUGCAUAAUUGGGUAAAGUUGCUGAUGAUGGUCCAACGCUCGUACAAUUUAACUGAGCGUCCAGACUUCAACACUGGGUCCAUAAAGAACAGUCUACUGCAAAGGUUUGAGUGGAUUGGCGAUCUUCAUGACCAGUAUCCGGAGCUUUGGGAAAAGCAUCGCAUUUACGAUGCCAUUAUGCUUUUUCGUUUUGACACUUCGAGGGGUAUUUGUUCUCAACAUAUGCAGGGGAUCUUUCUCAAGCACAUGAGAAAGUCUACUCAUUAGAUCAUUUUAGUAGCAAUAAUAUUGUAGGGCUUUUUCGUUCUGGCAGCUAUAGAUUAGUCUGGGCUACUGUAAAGAGUAAAUUGGAGAAAACUCCCCAUGUGUCUAAGUUCAAGAAUAAGACCCCAAAAGUGCUUCGAAAGGGUAGCUAAGCCUUAGAAAACACCUUGGUCUUCUUCACCAAUGAAACCAACAGUUGCUUACAAAUAAAUGCUUGGCUUGGCUUGAGAAGCUUGUGGCAUGGAAGCUAAGCAUUCAUGAGUUUAGCAAGAGAGAGAGAGAGAGAGAGAGAGAGAGACCAUAUUUUCUACGAGAAACACAGGUUUAAAGCAAAGGAUUUCAUGAGAAUUUGCUGAGGAGACAAGAUUUUUGGGAGCUCAAAAGUCUUCUUGCAACUGUUCCAGUGGUAACCUCUCAUCUAUGGUUAUCACUUCUCCUUCUUUCCUCCCAUAUUUCAUGGCAAGAGCUGAUAAAGGAAGAAAAUAGAUAGCAACGUUGGUCUGAAGGAUGUCUUUUCUCCUAGCAACCUGCUGGCGCUAAUACCCUUUGGUCAUUUGAAUGGUUUGUCUUGAGGUUUGCACCUGGUCACGUGCUAGAGCCUCACAGCAGCCUACAUAUGUGAGUCAUUCCUUGGCUUUUUGUUGUGGUUUUGUCUCCAACCAUGUGCUGGAGACUUUCAAAUAUUUUUUUUGAUCAUUUGGGCCUUCCUAAGGUAAUGGGUUUGUCUACUAGGGAAUGGGCCAACUUCACAAAGUGAUAGACUACUUUUAUUAAGGUGAUGGGUCAAUUUUCUAAAGUGGUGGGCUCUCUUUUUCUCUCAUUUAUGCUUACCCAGAUAUUUGGACUCAAGAAAUGGGCUCGAGUUUUGGGGCUCCCAAGCAAUCUAAAACUUCAAUUUCUCGGCUCAUCAAUGGGCCUCAUGAAUGCUCGUUACCAUCCAUACUACAACCCACUCAGCAAGCCCCGAACAUUUGCAUGGCUUGGGCCUACUUAAGCUUAUAGCAUGGCUAUGUGUAAUAAUGAUUUUCUGCUUGGCAUUGCAUGUUGAUUGGCGUGCCUGAAUUUUAUCGUCUUUGAAAAGGGAUAUGAUGCUUGACGGGAGAAUUAGCAUGGGCUUGUAGAGCUAGUGCCUUUUAUGGGCUCAUUUCAAUUCUUAGCGUGACGGAUUGCAUAUUUAUUUCGCAUGGCACGUGGAUCGUGGCUCUUGCAAGCAUGCAUGACGAAUUUCGCAUACUCCAAACCGAGUCUCUUCUUAAUUAGGUGUCGCACUGGACCAGGAAUUUAUUUGGACCUCAAGUUACAUACACGAUUUUUUUUUUCUUCACAUGGGUCAUUUUAGUAGUUGUGAUAACUUAAUAGUAUAUCUUCCUAUGUUAAAAUUAUAUACAUGGGAUUUUUCUCAUGCGCGUGAGAGAUUUAGGUCCCAUAUCAUUUUAUUGUGAACUCUUUAUUGAAUAUCCUCCCAUUCGCAAUUUAUGCGCAUUUUCUCAAGCUCAUGAAAGAUUCUGGUGAUUAGAUUACUUAAUGGAACAAUGAACUUAUGAUAACAUUUGUCAUGCAUAUACAUGCGCGCAUGAGAGUAUUGUCAUAGUAUCUAUACAUGCCCCAUUCUUAUCAUCUUCUCUGCUUGAUCUGGAAAUAUUAUCUAUGAUUCGCUAACACGACACGAAUUCACAAGAAAAAAUCAAUAUUUGGGUUUAGCUUGGACUCGUUAGCCACCCAUUAAGCUAAUAGGUCAUAUCAGUAUCAUUCACGAAUAUUCGCUAACGGGUUGUGUUGGUCAUUCACGAAUUUAAACAGGUCAUGUCCGUGUUUGGUAUUUUCCACCCGUUAACUUAACGGGUCGUGUUCAUAUCAACUCGUUAAGAAAGUGGGUCAACACAAACACAACAAUAUAUUUGGUCCAAGUGCUAUGGGUAUAGCAAUGCUGCAUUGAUCCUAAGCUUUUUUAUUUUUUGUUUGGACGGAUGAUGCUAAGCUUAAUGAGUGCAAUAUAUUUUGCUAAAUAUAUAUGAGCUCAAGAAACUCCGAAUUAUGGUGCAGCACCCAACACCUUUAGAACAUUACAAAAGGGACCAACAAAGCUUAACAAGCCUCAUGAAACACUGUGACUGCAAACAAAUCAACUGGGUCAUUUAGGCCCAGUCCCCAAACAAAGUUCUUUCCCUAAUCAUAUUUACGAAUGGAAGUUGAAAGUUGAAGCCACUCAUUUAUUUCACAUGCAAUUUAAUUUGUGCUCUCAUAUUAAUUAUUUAAGCACUAAUUUUAUGCGCAUUUGGUAUUUGAGGUUGAUAAUUUAGUGGUGCUGAUGGACAAGUCUUAACUGUGUGUGUGUUUUGCAGAAGUACAGGCUCAACAGCAGGGGCGCCCAACCAGCAGCUUCUGCCAACAGUUCGCAGAGGGCAGCCCUGUUUUACUACAGGGACAUGUGGAACCCUAGCGCUUCUGAGCAGUCAAACUCUCGGCAGCAGCAGCUCGAAAGUGCAAGGAAUGGUGGAGAUGGCUCUUCAGUUGGUGGCUCUAGCAGAACCAGAAUUGAAAAAAUCAAAGAGUUAGGUUAGAUGAUGUUUAGUUAUGCAUCUGCUGAGAUUUUGCAUAUGUGUAUAUGAGGGCAUGUAUAGCAAAAGAUUAGGAUUCAGGAAAUAAUCAGAACCUGAAAGUUGUUUAUAAUUUCUUCUUUCUUUUUUGGGUCUCAAAAGUUGUUUAAUUUCAUGUUGAAUUGUAGCUGUGAUGCAUUUUUUGUUUUUGUUUUUGCUUUUUGGGUUUCAAUUUCUGCCCAAAUUGGUGCAGUUUAAGUUCUAAAAUUUCCAUUUUCAUGGACUUGUGUUUCCCAAGCAAACUGGUCUAAGAAGAACAAUUCAAUUUUAGCAUGAAGAAGCAAUUUUUUCUUCUUCUUCUCGAAGGGUCUUUUUGAUUGGACAAUGUUGAAAUGCAGCUCCAAAUUCAGCAAUUCAGGUAUAAUUCUACAGAGGGAGUUCAUAAUUAAUGCAAACAGUGGCACAAAAUCUCAGAAUAUAUUGGGAUUUUUUACUAAGUAAAUGAAGUCUGUCAGAUGAUGAGAGAACCAUAGCUUUAUUCCAAGUACAAUAACUUACAUACUCCUUACAAAGUACAAACUUACAAGCCCUACUACAUAUGCUUCUGAUAAUUGCACACCCCAUACAAACUUAACAUGAUUUAUUUAGUUAAUGAUUUCAGUUUAAUAUCAAGGAGAAGUAGUUUGCUUUGAAGAAGCCCGUGGGAUUCCAGGAAUGCGAGAUGUUGGUGGUGAUGGAUUUGGAGGCAAACUUGUUUUUGGAAUUUGUGGUGUUGUGAAGGAAGUAUCUGGGCGAGCUACUUUUUUAUCAUUUAGUUGCCCUGCCUUUCCUAGUCCUGGAAGUCCAGGAAGUCCUGGGAGUCCUGGAAGUCCCGGAAGUCCUGGAAGUCCCGGAAGUCCUGGAAGUCCCGGCAGUCCCGGAAGUCCUGGCAGUCCCGGAAGUCCUAAUAAUUUUUUGUCAGUUAGUUGCCCUCCCUUUGUAUUUUUACCAGUAAAGGGGGUUAAUUGUGGAAUUCCUGGAAGUCCUGGGAGUCCUGGAAGUCCUGUUCCUGGGAGUCCUGGAAGUCCUACUUUUUUAUCAGUUAGUUGCCCUGCCUUCGUAGUUUUACCAGGAAAGGGGGAUGUAACUGGAAUUCCUGGAAAUGAAGAUUUCUGAGAACUGAAUUCCUUGGAGUUUGGAAUGCUUGGUUUUUGGUUACAGAGGCUUGGCUGCUUUAGAGGCUUGAAGGUGAAGAAACCAGCUGAGAAUAUAUAUGUUCCUUGCUCACUUGACUUGAGAUGCAGUGAAGAUGAAGUGGCUGUUGAGGACACAGCACAAUAUGGUUCACUGCUGCUGAUUAAUUUCACAGAACACCCUUCAAUUUUCUUGACACGCUUGCUCACAGAGAAAGGCAAAUGGACUCUGAACACUCCAUGGCUAUCUGUUUUCACUUCUGUCUGGAAACUUGGUUUUGAACUCCCAUCUUUGCAUUCUACACCAACAGAAGCCCCUGCAGAAAAAUAAGUUGAAAUUAAGUUAACUGAACCCAAAAUUCACAAUAUAAAAAGCACUUUUGAUUGAGUUGUAGGAAAUUUGAAAUGAACCUGAAAUGAAGUGGCUGGCAUGUGAGAAUUCGGCUUGGAAACAUGUGUCACAGUAGACAGUGCCUACAACAACUGCAGAUGGGGGCUUCUUCUCAUGGCUAGCUUCUGAGGGAGUAGUCAAUGAGAGAGAACUGAUCAAAAAGAGUAGUGUAAAAAACCAAGACAUGUUAGAGCCUCUAUUGCCUCUGAGCAACUCUAAUAUUCUUGACUCUGAGAAUGAGUUGAUCUAGGCUGCCUUUUAUAUCAAUUGCUGAGGCUUAUAACGAAUAUAAAUACUCUCUACAGUAUUCACUAUACACUUUCUGAAAAAUGAAACUUUUUCUUCAAAUUUUACGACAUGACGCAUUAAGCUUCUUUAUUUCACCCAUGCAAAAAGCCAGUCAACCGCAAACUAGAAGAAGUGAAUGUAGGUUCAUAUCCUACCACCAAACAAUCCAAAAAGAAGGUUAAUAUUGUGAUGGAGAGGUAGAUAAGAAGAAAUAUUUGCUUUGCUGGUUCUUUGUUUACUUACAUUUAUUGAGUUUGUUUCUUUGUUAGUGGUGUUGAGUUGUGGAGAUACAAUUCAACUAGGAAAAGGAUGUGUUUCCUUUUGUUUGGUUUUCUUCUUGGUUUUAGAUUGGCAAAGAGUCACUUUUGGUUCAUGUGGUUUAUCACUUUAUCACUAAAAUCCCUGUGGUUUCAAUUUGAUCACUUUUGCCCGUGUGCUUUCAAUUUGAAACAAUUCAAGGACAAUUCUCAACUUAUGUCAAGUUUUCGUUAACUUCAGAUAUUUGUGGAGGGGCAAUUUGGUCUACAAAUUAUUUAAAAAAUUCAUUCCUUUUAAAAAUAAAAUAUUAAAAACCAAUAAAUAAAUAAAACAAGAAGAACAGCCAAAUACAUAGUAUGGUAACCCAAAUACGCCCUCGAAUACAUGGUGAGCACAGCCAAAGCCCAAGGCAAAAAAUUCACAGCCAACUUGUUCUUUGUGUCCCAGAGUCCAAUCCCUUUAUACGUUAAGAGGGUGAAGUAGAUAUAUAGCAAAGAAGAACAUGUACUGAGAGUGGCUCGAAGGCCAUCCAUGCAAAAUCACACAAGCUCAAGAAACACUGAGUUUCUUUAUUUGGGAAGAAACCUAAAGGCAUGGAACAAAAGGAAUGAGAUGAAGACAACUGUUGAAUUGAUGGCAACUCUAUCCAGGAUGUAUGAGAAGCCAUGUGCGAUGCGACAAUUGUAUUUGAUGAAGUGCUCAUUUAAACUGAAGAUUUGACCGAGUCAUUUGAGAAGAUUUGACCCUUAAAAUUGAUUUUUUUUUGCAUUUAUCUCGAGUUUUAUGUCUCAUUACGACUCAAACAAGCUCGUCAUUACAACUUAAAGGAUCUUAUAGUAAUUGGUUGAUCCUAUUUCAAAAUAAAACUAAGUUAUUUGAUAAGAUUUGACCCCUAAAAUUGAUGCUUAGCAAAGGCAAUUGAAAAAUAGAUAAUUUUUUUUUUGUUAGAAAUAUAUAUAUGUGAAAAUUGAAAAACUCCCAAGCCCAAACAAAGUUUACAACUUUCCAUGGUGUCAGAAUAUAUAUGUUGUUUGAGCAGAGCAUGGCAUCUUCUCAAGACCUAAUGUGGCAUAUUAAUACCCUAAUAAGGGUUUAUUUUAAUUUAAUAUCCCAAAUUUUUACUCUUAAGGCAUGUUUGUUCCUACACUCUUAAUUUUAAUGAUUACAUACCCUAAGCUUUUGAAUUUUGCAAUCUAGUUCCGACAUUAACUUCCCUAUCAAAAUUUUUGUUAAUUGCUUGCAUGGCAAGCGUGGAUCUCACCUAUUCGCUUAUUUCGAUGUCAGUUGAAGAGUGUUUUCGGGUAAUUGGUGUCUUCCCGCCCAUGAAGAACACAUUACAUGCACUAAUACCAAACCAUUUUUGAACAAAUACUGGAAAAUACCCUUCAACUAACAUUCAAAUGAGUGAAUAGGUGGAACCUAGGAUUGCCACGCAAGCAAUUAACGAAAAUUUUGACGGUGAAGUUAACGACGGAUCUAGAUUGCAAAAAAUUGAAAAACUUAGAGUAUGUAAUUGUUAAAAUUGAGAGUGCAUGAGUAAACGUAGCUUUAGGAUAAAAGUUCAGAGUAGUAAAUUGAAAUUAACCAUAUUAAUAAGGCUUGUGUUAAAGUAAUAGCAAUGUGAGACCUCCAAAUCUCAGGGAGGUCUUCUAGUUCUAUGAGGACACUCCCCUGAAUCCAUGAAUAGGUAAAGUAAUUCCGGCCAAAUUAAAGAGUCAUGUGACUGCAACCAAAGAGUCUUUUCCUCAGUUGUUGACAGUCUAGAAAAUUUGCAUCAUCUCAUCAGCAAACAGAUGAACAUUCAAUAAUUCAUCAGUGAAAAUUGGGAGCUAUAAUAAUGCGUUUGGUUCAAAAAGUACCAAUCUACAUAGAACAAUGAUCUUGGGAUUUGAUAUUUGGAAUUUGGAAGACUUAUUUUAGCUGAAAAUGGACAAGCAUACGCAUCCAAUGAUCCAGACCUGAAACAAAAAGAAGCUACAACUUCCAAGUAUUUGAGCGCUUUCCAGCCAACUAAGGAAUCUCUGUACUCUGUACGCUCAUAAGAUAAGACACUCCCAUGUGUUGAUGUUGCAUCCAGAUUCCUUUUGCAGCAAUGUAUAUGUCCUUCCAUCCCAACAGUCUGUUUUUUUUUUUUUUCCUUUCUUUCUUUAAUUCAAUUUUCAACAGUUUUUACUGUCCAGCUGCAUAGCAUCUUGGGUGAAAAAGAGAAAAUAAAAUUAACUUCUACUGACAAAAGAUACACCAGUCACACCACAAAACAAAGGCACAAACUCCAGAUUAAGAUAAUUAGAUCUUGACAGAUUGCCUUCACCAAUUGAUUACCUUGUGACCAAGGCAAUCCCACAAACUUACACCGUUUCAUUCUUUGUCCGUGGGCCACAAUUUUUGACAAAUUUGACAAUCUAAUAAGGUGGUUACUGACGGUUCAAGGUUAUCUUGUGAGGGAAUUGAAAUGUAACACCAAAUUUUCUUUUACGCAGUGCAAGAGAUAAUGCAUGUUAAAAGUUAAAAAAAAAUGAUUGUUUUUUCGAAUUCUAUGAUGUAGGUUUUGCCCUAGGGUUUAGGGUUCCAAAAAACCUGUCAUGUCUACACUUCACGGGCGAGCUUAAGCCUGACGAGUGUCGACAGGACUUUCAUGGCUGCUUGUUGAAUGUUCUAUAGUGGAGUUUGCCAGCUGAUGGAUACCAAUUCCCAAAGCUUGAAACAUAAGAUAACAUUGUUUAUUAGAUUUUAUUUUUAAUAUCUGGUUCAUUAUUAUUGAAACAAUAAUAAUCCUUAGUUUAGAUAGGUAAAUUAUCCCAAACAAGGUUGCCGACUCAAACGUUAAAAUUGUAGCCGAUGAACUAGACUUUAGUUUAGCGUUAGGUGUAUCUCUUGAGUGUGAGGUGGACAUUAAUUUGACCGAACUAAUGAAAUCGACUAAAUCAAACUGUAAUAUUGGUUUGGUUUUAAUUAAGAAAAAGUUAAAUUGUUUAAAAAUCAAACCAGAUCGUGUAUGGUUUGAUUUUGUUUGAUUUUGAACUCUUAUAAACCGACCUAAAUCAAAUCAGACUGUUUAUGUGUAUAUUUAUUUACUUAGAUUUUACAUGUGUAAACUCUAAUUAGAUAAUACCUAUAUAGUUAUUGAAAUUUGAAGUUUUAUGUCAUCUGUCCAUCAAGUACUUUCUUUCUCCAUAUGAGCGUUAUGAUUACAUAUGAAUUGAGUUAUAUUAGUUAUUAAAAUUUGAAGUUUUAUGGCAUUGAAAUUCCCAAAUGGAUAUGCCAAGCUUGAAACAUAAGAUAACAUUGUUUAUUAGAUUUUAUCUUUGAUGUCUAGUCCAUUAUUAUUGAAACAAUAAUAAUCCUUUGUUUAGAUAUGUAAACUAUCCCAAACAAGGUUGCUGACUCAAUCGUUAAGAUUGUAGCCGAUGAACUAGACUUUGGUUUAGUGUUAGGUGUAUCCAUUGAGGUAAGGUGAGCAUCAAUCCAGCCGAACUGAUAAAACCGACUGAAUCAAACUGUAAUUAGCCAUUUGGUUUUGUUUUGAUCAAGAAAAAGUUAAAUGAAAUCAAACCGAAUCGUAUAUGGUUUGUUUGGUUUUGUUUUGAACUUUUGUAAACUGACAUAAACCAAACCGAGCUGUUUAUGUGUAUAUUUAUUUACUUAUAUUUUACAUGUGUAAUACUCUAAUUAGGUAAUACCUAUAGUUAUUGAAAUUUGUUGUAUUAGUUAUUGAAAUGUGAAGUUUUAUGUCAUCUGUCCAUCAAGUACUUUCUUUCUCCAUAUGAGCAUUAUGAUUACAUGUGAAUUGAGUUAUAUUAGUUAUUAAAAUUCGAAAUUUUGAUGGCAUUGAAAUUCCCAAAUGGAUAUGCCAAGCUUGAAACAUAAGAUAACAUUGUUUAUUAGAUUUUAUCUUUGAUGUCUGGUCCAUUAUUAUAGAAACAAUAAUAAUCCAUAGUUUAGAUAUGUAAACUAUCUCAAACAAGGUUGCUGACUCAAUCGUUAAGAUUGUAGCCGAUGAACUAGACUUUGGUUUAGUGUUAGGUGUAUCUAUUGAGGUAAGGUGAGCAUCAAUCCAGCCGAACUGAUAAAACCGACUGAAUCAAACUGUAAUUAGCCAUUUUGUUUUGUUUUGAUCAAGAAAAAGUUAAAUGAAAUCAAACCGAAUCGUAUAUGGUUUGAUUUGGUUUUGUUUUGAACUUUUGUAAACUGACAUAAACCAAAUUGAGCUGUUUAUGUGUAUAUUUAUUUACUUAUAUUUUACAUGUGUAAUACUCUAAUUAGGUGAUACCUAUAGUUAUUGAAAUUUGUUAUAUUAGUUAUUGAAAUUUGAAGUUUUAUGUCAUCUGUCCAUCAAGUACUUUAUUUCUCCGUAUGAGCAUUAUGAUUACAUGUGAAUUGAGCUAUAUUAGUUAUUAAAAUUCGAAAUUUUAUGGCAUUGAAAUUCCCAAAUGGAUAUGCCAAGCUUGAAACAUAAGAUAACAUUGUUUAUUAGAUUUUAUCUUUGACGUCUGGUCCAUUAUUAUUGAAACAAUAAUAACCAAUAGUUUAGAUAGGUAAACUAUCCCAAACAAGGAUGCCGACUCAAACGUUAAGAUUAUAGCUGAUGAACUAGACUUUGGUUUAGUGUUUGGUGUAUUCAUUGACUGUAGGUGUGCAUCAGUCCUGCCGAACUAAUAAAACCAAUUGAAUCAAAUUGUAAUUAUCAGUUUAGUGUGUUUUUCAUUAAGAAAAAAGUAAUUUUAAAAAAAUCAAACCGGAUCAUAUAUGGUUUGAUUUGGUUUGGUUUCGAACUUUUGUAAACCAACUUAAACCAAACCAAACUGUUUAUUUGUAUUUUUAUUUACUUAUAUUUUACAUGUGUAAUACUCUAAUUAGGUAAUACCUAUAUAGUUAUUGAAAUUUGUUAUAUUAGUUAUUAAAAUUUGAAGUUUUAUGUCAUAUAUCCAUCAAGUACUUUCUUUCUCCAUAUUAGCAAUAUGAUUACAUGUGAAUUGAGUUAUAUUAGUUAUUGAAGUUUGAAGUUUUAUGGCAUGUUGAGCUUUAGGACGGUUUCGUACUCUAGAAAAUGAUUUAAAUAUGGAGCAAGUUGUGAAUUUAUUGGCUGUAAUUGGACUAACAAUAUUGAAAAAAUGCAAAAAAAAAAAGAGAUUUGGGCUUAGGCCCAAACUGGCCGAACCGUCUUAAAUUGGUUUGGAUUGAUUUAAUUUUCUUCAUGACUUUUGUCAAAAUCAAACCAAAACAAACCAUUAUAUUGUAAUUGGUUCAGUCGUGAUUUUGAGGUGAAACCGAUUUAAUCCAGAUCGUGCCCACCUUAAGUGUAAAGUCUCAUACGUGACUUACAUAAACACGAGGAUGAUAUAUAUUUGUGAUGAGUGCAUAGCUUCGUUGUGGGUAAAUUACCUGUCGUAAAAGUAUAUUUGUAAACAACAUUUUUAUUACACCCCAUUCAUGCAGGAAACAUUUUGAUCACAUUGAAUGUAUAAUGUACAUCAGCAAUUUUCAUAUAAUGUAAUCAUCAGCAUGUGAUAUUUCUGUUUGUUCUUCCAUCUGAUCUGAGUUUGUAUUUAUUCUAGUCUGCAUGCUCAUAUGGAGAAAGAAAGUACUUGAUGAGUCAUCUGUCCAUGCAAUUAUUGGUUUCUUGACCAGCAUAAUAAUAGUACCAAACAAUAGAUUAAACCCAACUGCAAGUUUGUAUAUUGCACUGGAGUGGCACCAUUUGCAGAACAAAACAAUGUGAUACAGCGCAAAAUAUAUUGAGAGAUCAGUUGCAAAUUCGAAGAAACAAUGCAAAAUAAUCACAAGCACCAUCUGCAUAUGCAUCUGUAUGAAAAAAGAAAAGAAAAAAAGAAAAAAAAAAGAACAGAAAGAACCAUCAACGAUGCUCGUCAUCAAGCUGCCCUUUCAUUCAAUAAGACCAAGUCACAUUCGGACUACAAAUGAAAUCUCUACAGUUCAAAUCACUCUUCCAUUUUCGGGGAUCAAUCAAUCCUCGAGGGAAUACCCACCAAAAAACCAAGCUACAAAGUUUAUGAUACAACACAUCCUUGCUAUUCUGUACAAAAAGUUAUUUGGAAAAGUUAAAAAAAUCUGGUCUUCCGGUAUAACAAACUUAAAAGCAACUAAAAUCAGGACCAGAUCCUUCCUGCCUGGCUACCCUCCUCUCUUCUCUUCUCCUCAAACCGUAAUAUAGAAGUGAUAUCCUCAGUAUAUGCUUCCAUUUGCUAACUGUACCCCGUACACGUAUUGCCUGCCGGUUAUGUUGGUUAUUUAUAUGGUCAUUGAAAUGGCAAAUGACAUGGGAAAACCAGGGAGAUCCCAAGAAAAUCUUGCUUCCCGAGUACUCGAAUAAUAUUCACAAGUGCUCUUGAUCAUAAAAUGCAAGGAGCUGCUUCACAUGAUUAUGCCAAGCAGCAACAUUUAAUCCAUCAACUAGGACCCAGUCAACAACAGUUGCUGCUGGUUGCUCCCACCAUUCAUCAAGCUGCAGAAACAUAUUGCAGUUCAGACAAUUAAAGAGUGCAAAGGCAAAACAAAACUAUUAAGAAUUUAUACAGCUAAAGUAGAAAGAUGAUGGUGGUCACUCACCAAUCCCCUAACAUAGUUGCAAUCCUCCAAGCACUUCUGAGCACUCAAAAUUGCAACCUUAAGUUCGGGCAACCAUUUCUCCAUGACAGUUUUCUCUUGCUCCGCAGCCAAAUUUAAGCAAUAACUUGUUGUCCUGCAAGGAGUAAAUAAAAAUUAAGAAAAGCACAUUCAUUACGAACAUUAACAUUUAAAAACAGAAAGUAGCAGAGCUAUGAGAGGCUUGAGUAUUGGCAGGAGAUUAGAAGAAAGAAAAAAAAAUGUAAAUGUAUUUAGAAUUUGGAUGAAAAAAAAAAAUUCAUAACAUCUAACAAAACAUAUGAAUCUCAAAAGAAAAAAGAAAAAAUCGCUCCAAUAGAAAGGCAUGGUUCUGUAGUCAAAGAAACUUUGUCAGUUACCCAUCGGACACAGAUAUUGGAAUUUUCCUCAUCUCUUGCUCAAAAUGGAAUUCCAGUUCAUAUUGUUUGACUAGGGUCUACUUACUGAAACUUUGGAGUUUGGAGGAUUACAUAAUCUAGAUUCCUGUUAAAACAAGGCCAAGAGAGGUUAUACCUUUCAUAUUCUUGUUGAGCUCUAUACGCAUGGUUCAACAACACAUGACCACUUUCAACAAGAUCCUGCCGUGUAUGGACCAAAUUGAUUGCCUUUGCUAAGUCCUCCAACACACUAGCCUCAGAACCACGAAGUUUCAAGCAGAACUCCAGGGACUCUAGGAUUGAUGCUAAAGCAGUAUCUGAACCCUCCAAACCUGUUCAUGUUAAAUAAGAUAUAAAAAAAGAAUUGAAAACACCCAUUAAGCGGGCACAAAAUGGCAUCCACAUAAUCCAAAAGUAAACAAUGAGAUAAUUAAAAAUACCAUAUGAAAAAAAACGCAUAUGGGAGCAUUUGUUAAACUCAAGCUAGACAAACUUGAAAUUAUGAAGCAAAUGUAGAAAGACAAACCGAUAGCUUUACAUUAUGGAGUUACAAGUGACAUGUAUGGAUAAUGAGAGAGCACAAUUUCAUGAUUCAUUAGACGCCAAUUUAAUUAGAGUUCUAUUUUCAUUCUCAAACCCAAACUCCUUCAUACCAGGAAAGAGUGGCUACAAAAGAUGAUUUCUUAUCAUGACACGCUAUUUCACCCACCACAGGGAAGAGAGAUCAAUUUUCAGUGUCCUACUUGGGAUUAAAAUUAAACAGAACAAAAAUCUUCCAGGCCAUCAUGUAACAGCAUCUCCACCCCAGCAGAAAAUCUAACCCUUCGGUGGACUUGUCCAAUUAAUUGCUAUACUGACGUUUUUUGUUUUUCUUGUAAGUGUAAUUGACAAACCAUUACAUACACAACUAAAAAAUGAAGGCAAAAGAGAUCUUCUGUUGCCAAUAGAGAGAAGCUUUCUGGCAGAAACUGGCCAGAUGGAGAGGAUCUAGUUCUCCCAAAACCAAGCCUCAAAUGGAGGCAGUGGCAUCUAAUCUUACACAUGCUUCUAAUGUUGUACCAGAUGACCGAAGACUCACCAGCAGGAUACUGAAGGGCAGCAGAUAUUCGACAUAUGGACGGUAUUGCUGAUGGAUCCCUGGCACCUGCUUUUGCAGUUAAUAUAGCAGCAUUCUUUUCUGCAGCUGCAACAGCUUCAGGUCCAGUAGACCCACUUGCACCCAUGGACUCCAGUAGUGCCUGAUAAAAAAUUCAUUAACAGUUAUAUACACAGAAGAAUGCAAAUGGGAUAACAAAAUCAAGGGUGGGAGUGCACUGAGGAUAAUUAAAUCAAGGGUACUUAGGUAGCUCCCCAGUGAAAGCAGUAUUUCCCUGGUGGUCUAAUCCUACUUUACCACCAGACUAGUCCAGUUCUGCUCAACAUAAAGCACCUCUUAAUUUGUUUUCCUUUAUGAGUAUACAAUUCGAAAUAUAGUGUAGGUUUAUUUUUACUUCUUUUUACUUCAUUAACAGUUAUAUACACAGAAGAGUGCAAAUGGGAUAACAAAAUCAAGGGUGGGAGUGCACUGAGGAUAAUUAAAUCAAGGGUACUUAGGUAGCUCCCCAGUGAAAGCAGUAUUUCCCUGGUGGUCUAAUCCUACUUUACCACCAGACUAGUCCAGUUCUGCUCAACAUAAAGCACCUCUUAAUUUGUUUUCCUUUAUGAGUAUACAAUUCGAAAUAUAGUGUAGGUUUCUUUUUACUUCUUUUGGGGCAAGCCCAAGCUUGACAUUCAAACUUCAAGAUCUCUCUCUCUCUCUCUCUCUCUCUCUCUCUCUCUCUCCAUUAUGUUCCAACGCCUUUCCCCACCAUACACAGUGUCCAGAAAACAGAUCCAGAAGGCGAACAUGAAAAGAUAUAAUGUAUUUUCAAGCCAAAGAACAUUCAAAAAAACUUCUGAAUAACCGAGACCUUAAACAUAUUACAGCAGUCAUAUAUGUUGAAUAUCAUAGUCAAAUUAACUAAUUAAAACUUGAUAAUGGAAAGAAACAGAUUUAUUAACUUUUACUUCUUUUUUUUUUAGAACCAAACAUAUUGAUCAGUAGAACGAUCAAUAACCAAGAAUAUUUAAUAACGAUAAAGCCACAAAUUGUAGUAGACAAACCUGUGGAGUUGCUGGAAGCAUGUAGAGGCUAUUAUCAGGACUUUGAUCAAAAGCAGAAACUUCUCUUUCAAUAAGAUCUUUUGCACUAUUUGAAAGAUCCAUAACUAUUGUGCAUGCUGGAAUAAUAGUGGUUGAUGCAUACUCCCGUGCGGCUAAUGGCUGCUGAUUCCAGAACGCAGCGGCAUCCUGCCAAGUUUACAAUAUAAUAUUAGAAAGUAUCUAUGACAAAAGGUGAUGGAGAAGUAGUAUCCUAGCUGCCUUUAUUGAAGUAUAUAUGAAUACCAACUGAAAACUAUGCCACUGGUGAUAUCAUUUGUGUAUCAGUUCCAAGGAAAUUGAAGUGCCUCAUGGUGAGCUAAAAGCCCAGACCUAUAGGCAUAAAUAGGAUCUUUGGGCAUCAUGAUAAAUAUGGCACAAAAGUGGGUACUGAAAUUUUAUUAAAUAAAAAAAAAGUCCAUCAACUCGUUGGGGUGACAUAAAAAAAUUUCUUCGAUAUUUUAUAUGAUAUAUAUGAACUUUCAUAUGGAACUCAAAACAGAAUGAGCCGACAAUUUCAUGGAAUGACCAGAAAUGGACAAUACAGUACCAUUAUAUGAAGUGACUUGCAGUUUUACAGGCAUUAAUGAAGCUGAGAUAGCUUACCAUGUUUACUUUUAGUAGAGCACUGUAUAUGAUUUCAAGUUCCGAUCUGCGGGAAUCAAAUUCUUCAAUCUUUUUCCACUUCUUUUUCAAUGAAUCUUCAGCUUCUUUCCUUUCUGCACAUAAUUUAUUUAAGCGUUGUAUUUCAGACAUCAGCGUAUUCAAGCUAGCCCUCAAGCCAGCAACUUCUCUUUCCUUGGUCCAAACCUCCAGCUACAAAAAUAAUAGGGAAAAAUGGUAAAAACAACACACCAAAUGAUAAUUAACUACAUACCAGAAAUAAGCUACCAUAGAGUACCCAAAUGACUUUUUAUGACAUUCAAAUCAACAAGGAUCAAAAUACUGAAACUAAUCACACCUCUCAUCAUUGGCACUAUUUGCACCUAAAGUAUUGCUAAUUUAGCCAUUUAAUAUCCAAGAAAGAUUUACCUCAAGUUGCCUAAGACUGCCCACAUUUUGUGAUGUGCCUGAAGAAACUGCGUCACUAUUUCCAUGCAAGCGUUUUAUAAGUUUUUGACACAGAUCCCUAGCUUCUGCAGCUUUGUUCAGUGCAUCUUCAGUAGCCAAAAAUUGCUGAACAUGUGCUUUCUGUGAACAACAUAUGCAAAAUAACAAUUUUAAACUCCUGAAACAAUGCAUGAUUCGUAAGACAAAACAAAAGCAGAAAAUGUAAGGUGAAAAUAGAACCCAACUAUGAUUUCGUUUAUUGACCAAAAAAUCUAUGCUUCAGUAUAAAAAAAGAAUGGUCUUAAUGGAAUUAGGGUUUCGGCGGACUAUUCUUUAUAGGGGAAAACACAUUAAAGAAAAAGUAAGAGUAAUGUAUAUCCAUGUAGUGAAAAAAUGAGAAUAUUAAGAUGAAUGGCAUAAGUGACUAGAUCAUAAUUAAAAAUCAAUGUCAAGGCUACUAUCUAGAAAAGAACAUAACCUGUCGUUCAAGAAGUUGAGUUCCUCUAGAAGGUGCAUCAACUCCUAUCUUUCCAUUACCAUAAAGUUGAUAGUGUAACGGUGAACUCACAUCAGGAGAAGAAACAUCGAUAACUCGGUUGUUCUCAUACUUGUACCUGAUUAAGGAAUUGAAGAAACGUGAAUCAAGGAUAUGGAGAAGAUAUGAGAAUUCAAAUACAAGAAUGAUCAAAUUUGAAAAUACAGCAUGCAAUUAUUAUUUAAUCAAGCACUGCAACUAUUCCUGAUAAGAGAGGGAGGGGAGACCAUAUUAUCCACAAGUAUUGACUCAGGAAAUAUUAAAUUAAAAAACCAAGAAGGAAUAUCGUAGUUGAAUAGCCUUGCCUGUAGAAGCUUAGGGAAACAUUGACAGCACAUAAGAAAUGUGAAGGACAAAAUGAAAUAAGCUUUAUGUCCCCAACAGAAGUGACAAGAAAGUGUUUACCUUAAAGUUUCUGCAUCAGCUCUAACAUCAAUUUUCUCUAUUUCUCUGGAAAUUAGAGAUUUCAACCGUGACGUGUAUGAAGUAAUUGCCUGAAGCAAUUGAGGAGGACUCUUUAACCCAUUCACAAUCGCAGCUCUAACCUCAUCAGGUAAUUCCCCAUCAAAAUCAAAGCCUAACUUGGCUGUUUCUAAUUGAGGAUUCAAAUGAACACCACUUCCUUCAUAUGCAGGAAAAGAAUUGCGAAUCUUUUCAAUCAUAUGUGCUGCAAGAGAUUCACAGGCCUUCCGGAUGUUUCUUUCCCGAGUGGUUUCAAUAAGAAGUACAUCAUCUGCUGCUUUACUGCCCUUAAGAGUUGAAUAAACAGCUUCCUUUUCACUGCUUGAACUAAAGCUGUUAACCAAUUCAAGAGAUGAAUCAACACCUGACCUUUGAGCAUCCCUUGCUUGAUUAACAUAAUAACGAAGACGUUUAUGAUACUCUGCAAAUAUCUUUUCCGCUUCAUCACACUGUUGAUAGUAAGCAUCCAACAUUACCUGCUUAUGCCUGCAUUAUGAUCAAGCAUAUAUCAAUAGAGUCCACCUUGAAUGACUCGGAACAAGUGUUAGUCUCAUCAGAACAUGCUUCACAUCAUUUUUAGCUUAUGAAACUAUUCUCAAACAAACCUUGCAAAGAGGAAUAACAUAGCGCCGACACUCUAAACCAGUCAUAUAGUUCAUGUCUUUCUGAUAACGAUGUUGAUCACAUAUAAGAAUUUUGCAAACUUUCUUUCAGAAUUUCAGAAAGAAAACAAAACAAGUUUUCAACUGAAUUAAAUUAUAUACUCAGGAUUAUGCCAAUGAUCCACAAAAGCCCAAACCUUUUUUUAGAGCGUUCAUCAAGCAUCCUCUUCCGUUCGGCCUCUGCCCUUGAAACCUCCAACAUUCUGGCCUUCAAAUCCUUCCUUUGUCUCUUCACAAUGUUCCUCAACUUCUCCACUUCCUUUGACGCCAAGUCCCUCUCUUGCAGCGCAGCCUCCCUAGUCUCUGCCGCACUCGAACCCUCCCCAAGCUUCUCCUUUCUCCUACCUCCUUUACUCCUUACGCCCUCCUCCUUCCCCGAUUUUACCAAUGCACCACUAUCGCCGCCACCGCUGCCGCCGCCAUGAACAGUUAUAUUCCUCCGGAUAUUCUUCACCGUAUUCUCCGACUUCACGCGGGUAAUCAAGAAAUUCCAAAUGGGUAUCAUAUUCCCCCGGCAAAUCUUCCUCAGCGAGUCGAUUGAGGGCAAUUGAGAUUUGCUAGCAGCACUGUACGGACCCAAGGGCCGGUACCCCAUUUCCUUCUGAAGCCAUUGCAAUAUGGCUUCCGGCUGAGCCACAGAGCUCUGCGACGAGCCCUGCAUUCUUUUAGGCUUUUAGGUCUCUUCAGAAAAAGAAGAGUUUUGGGAACUAAAUCACCAUCCUGCGGUGAAUAAUAAAAACCCUAAUUUCUGCACACUAACGGACUGAGAUUGGAGCUCAAACUACUUCAAAAGCCUAACACUGACACUGAGGUCUGCUCCGAGUGUGAGAAUUUAGGGUUUCGAAUUGCGAAAAUUGGAGAGGAACAACUAGAUCUGAGGGGUCGCCGGCGAAGAAAUAUAUUCAAAUUGAGAAAUGCAAUGCAAAGUAAUACAACGGUAAUUUGACCUUAAGAGGCAAGCAAGGCAACGAGAAAAAGUCUGUCGUUUAUUCAAAUCGGCACUACAAUUUAUUAACCGGUUUAAUGCUUCAAAACGACAUGCGGUGAUGUGUGAAGUUUUUGGUCAUAGAUUAAUUAAGCUGGGACACUUAACCAAAAAUAUUAAAAAAUAAAUGUUUGGUGUUUGGUGUUUGGUGCUUGUCAGGGGUAGUUUUGUGUUUGUCCAUUUCUAUUUCCUGUGAAUAUUUCUGGUUGAAACUAUCAUUUGUAUAAUUAUGAACUUUGAAGCAAUAUGACCAAUUUUGCAGUGGGUUUGUUGUAUGAAACAUAAAUUAAAGAUUUCGUAAUAACUUGUAGCUCAAGCGAUUAAAAUUAAUUUUUAAUUUACACUUCAUUUAAUAUCUUUUGCACGAAAAUUUUAUAUUUUUUUCUUCCUUUUAAGCUCUGUCGGCAGCAUACUAAUUGUAGGAAGAAUGCCAUACAAGGCCGACGUGAGAAGCAAGUCUGAUCUUUUAUAGACCAUCACAAUAGUUUCCACUAUGGUCAUCAAGAACUAUUGCCCCAACCCUACUAAAAAGGGAAAUUGCCAAAAUUGGCACUGUAGCAUUCUUCAUACCAUUGUCGUUUUUGUUGGUUUUCAAUGAGUUUUUAUAUUUAUUUUUGUCAAAAUUAAGAAAGAGAGAGAGAAACUCACACACACCGUUAUUAUGGAAGUUGUUAUAUUUAUUUUUAUACAAGAAAUAUUGAAUGAAUAAAACUAAACACAAGAUUUACCACAACUAAUAAAAAUGAUGAUUUGAUAUCUCAGGUUUGAAUCCUCAUGACAUCAUAAUUGUGUGUGUGUGAGAAAUCCCCUUCCUCCUAGACUUUUUUAAAAGAAAGUGAUCGAAUUGCAUUCAAGUAGAAUAAUGAAUUAUACGGCAUAUGCAUGCCUAAGGUAGCCUCAUUAAAACCUUCUCAGGAAAAACCCCAAAGGACAAAACUCCGGAAUAAAAAAGAGUACCACACAUACCAAAGAUAUAGCAAAACCACAAGAUCAAAUAGAAUCCUGAAUAAGAGUAUCAAGGAGCCAAAAAAGAGGAGACUCCAUCCAGCUAAACGGUCAGCCACACUAUUCGCCUCUCGAAAAACAUGCACAACACAGACAAGUACAUUAUCAUGCAAAAGCAGUUUACAGUCUUCGAUCAAGCAACCAAGGGAGGAGAGAUCCACAUCACGAUAGAGAACAGAAAGAACCAUCCCUUGUGCGUCGCUCUCAAGACCAAGAAAAAAAAUAUAUAUGAUAAUUGUACUAAGAACCCUCCCUCUAAUUUAGACUAUGACUUGUACUAAAAAAAGUUUAUAUAUGAUAAUAGUAUCAUUAAGAAUUUCUUUUUAAAAAUAUAGAAUUAUUAACAUCCUUAAUUAAGGUUUGUCCAAUAAAAAACCAACAUCAAUAUAGAAUUUAUAUUUUAUAUUUUGUUGGGGAUUGGGUUGCGACAUCAUCUUUCUCUUCUUUUUUUUUGGUCGAGGUUGCGACAUCAUCAUUAAAGUUAAAUUCGAUUGUUUAUGGAAUUAAAAUAGGAUAGAUUCUUCCACCCACUGUCAGGAGAAAGAUUAAGGUGUGACUUUAAAAUUCCGCGCAUUCAUAGCUUUUAUCACCGCAAAAUCCAAGAGCUAAUUUGCAAAUUCGAAAUCCCCCAUAUUUAGUAUCCGAUUUUCGAAGCAUAUAUUUAUUCAAACAUCCAAUCCAAAAUUCUACUCAGUUUCCGAUUCCUCGGCGUCCCUGUCUUUGUCCACCCACCAAGAUCAAUCUCUAUCUCUCUCUCCUUCCAGUUUUGUCCCACCUAUCUCAGGUACUUUUUCUUUUCUUUCUCUUUCUUAUGUGAUUGUUUAAAUUAUUGGUCUUUUGCAGUAUUUUGAAUCUUCUGAUUGCAUCAGAAUUGAAUUGAUAUCUGCAAAGGGGUUAGAUUUUAUUUAUUUGUUUUUGCUGAUGAUGGUUUUUAUUCUUUGAACAUUCUGGUUGUAGCAAAAUUUGAUAUUUGCAACAGGGUUUUGUUUUGUGAACCUUCUGAUGAUCCAAAAUUUGAUAUAUUCAAAAGGGUCUGUUUUAUUACAUUGAUUUAUGUGUUUUUCUAGAUUGAUCUAUUACUUUUGAUCUUUAAAAUUGGGAUAAUUGCAUGUUUUCCUUUCCCUAUUCUGUUAUUUUAUUUUCUGGAAAUUUUGAAUGGACUGACUUGACCUUCAAUCUCUGGGCAGCUUGUCAACAAAGUAGCAUAUUACGAUAACCACCUGUAAUUUCUAUGGAUUUUAUGCUGGUUGAUAUGCCUUUCUUCCUCACCACCAUUCGGGAGGAAGGGCGAGAAUAAGGGGAAAUUUAAAUUUACUGGCUUUUAUAACAGAUGAGGGGAAAUUGUAUCUUAAAACAUCCCUGUUGUGAAACUUCAUAAUCACAACUAUUUUCUCAAAUUUUUCAUGUUUCUCCGAAUAUUUUGAAGACAUAUUCAACUCCAUAGGAGUCAUGGUAUUACAGCUGCAACUAGUGAGGUGCCUGCAUAUUUCCCAGGGAGUAUGACAAUGAUAAAUUGAAUCGCUUCAAAACUAUGAUCUCUCUGUACCAUUAAAGUAGUUGACACGCAUUGCAUGUGUGCAUGUGUUUUCUGCUUUAGUUCUAGUAGAUCUGUUUAGAGGACAACUCUCUUGAGUAUUAGCCUUUUCCCUUGUCAAUAUUGUUGUUUGAAACUUACACAUGACUGUCUUCUAUUUCACAGGUGAAGAAUAUAACCCUAAGUUAUAUCAGAGCCACAAAGGCGUCCAACAUUGUUAGAUAAAAGAGGGAGGGUACUGGUCCGCGGAGGCAGUGGGACUUCUGCGAGCUUUGUGUCCUCUCUCGUACUUGUCAAAGUACAAUAAUUGCUCCUAGAGAUCUUUUGCUUAAUGCACAAGUGGAGCUUGAUUGGUUUCGGCUGAUGAGAGUGGGGAACUGUUGUGGAGGUUUAUUUUUAAGCUGACGUAAUGGGUUCUGUUUGUUGUUGUUUGAAUGCUGAGGAUUUUGAAGACUAUGUGAAUCCAAACAGUUCUGCAUAUAGGAACUGUAUCUGUCUUAGUUGCUUUAUUGAGAACUUUCUAAAUGUGGUAUGCCUUCAUCAUCCUUGCUACUGAACUAGUUAAUUUUUUUAUGCAUUACUAUUAGUUGUUAUGAUGUGGGACAUAAUUCUAUGUUUCCUGUUUGGUAGAUGAUCUUGAUGUUCUGCUUCUCUUGUCACACUGUCAAGCUGAUUGCUUUUAUGUAUGAAAUUGAAUUUUCUUUUCAACCUCAUUACCAAUAUCUUAUGGAACUGUAUGCCAAAGAGCAUUAUUAUUGGUAAUUUUGCUGGAGACAGUGCUGCUUUUGUGCCCUCACUGAUCUGCUAUUGUCUUGUAAGUCUUCACUGAGAGCAUCUUAUAUAGAUUGUGAGACAAUGAGAGAGAAGAAUUUCUUGUUUUUUUUGAUUUUAAGAGAAGAGUUUUCAUUAUUAAGCUUGACUGUUAGAACUUUAAAAAGUGUUUGCAUGAUUGGGGUUUGUGUGUGGGCACUUAUGAGUCUUCCUUUAAAGGUUAGUGAUUUGGUUAUAUUCUUCUGGAAAGCAAAGGUUUAUGCAGUUGCUUUGAGUAAGAGAUUUGGCCUGUAAAACAGUUCAGCAAGAGAUUGAGUUAAUUCCAUAAAUUACAAUUUUAAUAUUAAUCGUGAAAACUUAAACUUUACGAUGGAAGAAUAACCCUUUAUCUUCUCGUAUUUUGUAGUAUACAUCAUUAUUCAGAAGAGGAGAAGUGCAUUCAAUCCCAUCAUCCAUUCAGGGGGCUGCAUCAAUGACGUCCUCAGCAUCACUAGACAACUCUAUAUCUGACAUGUAUCGUUCUCCUCCAAGGCCCUUGCCUUAUGAUGCUGACCCCAGAUACAUCCGCUUGCAACGGGAUGGGUUGAUUUCUAGGCGUGAGAAAGGCUCAAGUCAUUCUCAUGAGGAGGCCGAACCUCUAAGAAGUGAUACUGAUGCAGAUUCUGAAUGUUUGAGUACAGGAGAAAAAUGGAAUGGGUCUGCUUGUGAAGAUGGAGUAAAAGAACAUCGUUCCAAGUCCUCAAUGAAGUUCUCAUCAGCAAAAGCUACAACCAUAGUUGGGAACUUUUAUAUAUCAUCAGAAGACGAGGAUGUCUGUCCAACAUGUCUUGAAGGUAUUUUUAUUUGGGUUUUUUUUAUUGGUGUUUCUUCUUCUUUCUCACCUUGUGCGUCUGAUGGUCAUUUCCACUUCAUACUACUUAACAUGAAUGAUGACCCAGUCCUGUUUUCAUUCUGUUAAUUGCAAAUGUUUGUUUGCUGAAUUGAAUCAACUGUCCUGUUCAUGUUAUCUUUGCUUUGCUCCCCCAAAAAUAUUGUGCCCCUUCAGUAAACUGGACCUGAAGCUAGAAGGGAAGGGUCGGGUAGUGAGAUGCAGCAUUCACGCCAAAUGCUAGCUUUGUUAGGAAAUAAGACUUGAACACUUACGUCAAUUUGUAACGUUUGUGGCAACUUUGAUUGGUUUAUGAUUCUGAAAAUGUACCCUGAUGGUUUAUAACGUCUGAAAUAUGAAUUCUCAUGUUUUUUUCGUUGCCCUUGUGUGCAGAAUAUACUCCAGAAAAUCCCAAAAUAAUGACAAAAUGCUCUCAUCAUUUUCACCUUGGUUGUAUAUAUGAGUGGAUGGAGAGAAGUGAAAGCUGCCCUGUUUGUGGCAAGGUAACAAUAAUUCUCUUACUUUUUAUGUUUUCUUAGUUAAUAUUUCGUUUAUAGUGAUGAUAAUCUUUAGGUAGGCUCAGCUUUUAGUUUUAUGUCCCAAUAUUUCUGAAAUUUUAGAUUAGUGUUAUUUUGUUAUUAUUAUUAUUAGAAUAGUUCUUCCUUUGUCUUUACUAUAGUCCUAUACAUGUUUGGUAUUUUACAACUAAUGGAUUGAUAAUUUUUCUGAUCUACAUUCAAGUGAAGAUUAGUUUAAUUUAAAGCAAGACUCUUUUUUACUGCAAUGUGGAUUUUGACUCUGGAUUUUAUUUGUUUGGCUUUUGUAGGUGAUGGUAUUCGAUGAAACGACUUAAUCACGAUUGAAAGGUUUGUGUCGUUGAUGAAGCCAACAACAGCUGAAGAGAGAGCAUACUAAAGAAGUGAUGCCAUUGUGAAUACCACAUGUCAAAAAGUGUCAUUGAUCAUAGUACAUAUAAACUUCGUUUCUGAUGACCAUUGUUGUAAGUUCAUUUUAUUCCAUAUAAUUUUUCUAUGAAAAGAAAUUUAUGUGGUAGUUCUUGCCUUGCUAUGUUCUCUGAACAGUAAUUGCCUUUUGUGAUGUAGAAAAGUGAUUUAUAGUUAAUUUUUCACUUCCCUCAGAACCCAUCAAACUCUCACACCUCUCAUCUCUUCUUUGCACAUUCUCUCCCUUCAUGGUCUCUCUUAAACACCAGUCUUCAUCUUUCCAUUCAACAAAGAUUUGCUAUAAGCCCAACUUUUACAACGUUAUAAAUCUCGUAUUAGAAAGGAAAGACUGAACAACAUUGUCCUAAUUAUUUGUCUCAAUAACACAAGGAUUGAGAUAUGUCUGCGUAUUUGCCCAUACAAUAUAUGUAAAAGCAGGAUAAAAAGUUAUACACAUUAGGAUAGUUGUAUCGAGAUGAAUGUUCUCUUGCCGGAUAUCUAAUAUGUCACUAGACCGUGAAUCAAGAUCGCAUAUUCAAAUAUGAUCUCACUUAAUCAAUGAUUCCGAUUACGCUCUAAUAACACAACAUACAAAAUUGUUUAACAAAAGGAAAUUACUCAGCAUUUAAAACAUAUUUCCAAGGUUUGCAUUCUUAUUGGAGCUAGAGAGUGAAUGCUGAUGUGAAGUAUCAUUUUGUAGCUGCUUCAAAAGCAGCUAGGAAGACCUCAGUUGGUUGGGCACCAGCAAAUUCUUCCUUUCCAUUGAUCUGCCAAAAGAACCAAAUGAUUAGUAGUGAUGGAUCUAUUUGGCUAAUCAAACAAAACCCAAAUUUUGAAAAGAAAAAAAGAAGUGAAUUUUCAUCACCCACCACAAAGUAUGGGAUUCCUUUUACUUCUGAGUACUUCUUAAGCUCUUCCUUGACCUUCAUUGUAUCAUGAUGAGCUAGAUCAGUUCCAUUCAAAAAUAUACAGAAAAAAGUUUGGGGUUUGGUUUAUUUCUGAGAAAGGAAUGGCUGUUGCAGGAUUCUAGUUUUAAUUUGGCCUGUUUUGGAACCAAAGGAUCAUAACAAAAAUUCCACAAUCCUCUAUCUGGUUUUUGCUGUCCUUCAACAUGUUAGCUUGGCUUGCAAAAUAAUAGGAACAUGAAGGAAUUGGUGAAGAACAGACCUCAGUGAGCCCAUUGUUGGGGUCAUCAAGAAACUCUGCUGCCCCUUCUAUUUCAAUCUUUUCAGCACAUUUCAGAAGAUAAUCCCUGCACCCAAAUUGCAAAUGUUUGUGCCUCUUUCAAGUUUUACAUCAGAUUAAGGAUGUAGAAGUACUUAACCUAGAACAUAUCUUUGCAUCCAUAGCCAUUGCUUGAAAAUUAAGAAUAGAUUAAUGAAUCCUCCCCAUAUGCAAUCUUACCUGUCCCCAAUGAAUCUCCCAUCUGUGAAAUAUCCAAGACAGAUCUCAUCCACAAGAUCAUGUUGCUUAUCACGAUCCUGCAGCCCAGCAAAAUAUAUAAGCCUGUGACUCUCAAUAGUAUUUCCCCUGCACAUGUUUUACACAAUAUUUGUUAACACAUUAAACCACCACCGAAAAAAUCCUUGUUUCCAUGCUUUCACUCUAUGUGAAAUUGUUUGUUUACACACGCACAAACACACAAUCAGCCUGAAAAAUGAAAGAAAGAAAAAUCAAUGUCUGCACUUACGUGAGUCCAUCGAUCUUAUAAGUCAUGUCAUGGUUUGAAAAGAUCUGCAAAUUGUGAAAAGGAAACAUAAGAAUGAAUACCACUUAAAACUAGCAACCAAAUAAGGAGAAAAACUUCCCUAUCCCCGGUUCAUUGCCCCGAUCUCUCUAUUUCUCUCCUCAUAUCGCCUAUCAGAUGAGGAGAGAGAUAGAAAGAGGGGGGGUGAUGAAACGGGGAUAAGGAAGUACUUUAUGUAUAUAUUACAUACAUCUGCCAUACGGGUCUCAAACACUUCAGCCACAUCAGCGCCCAUCUUUGUAUCAUAAAACUCUUUCUUGUAAGUGCCUUCUUUAGGGAUUUCAGGAUCAAUUUGAAAUGGAUGCCAUCUGAGCUCAAACUCGUAUCGAUCAUUACCUUCCUCCAGAGCUUUGUCAAGGUUUCUUUUGCCCACAAAGCACCAUGGACACACAGUGUCUGCAAUUAUAUCAAUUUCCACAAACUUUUUCUUGGUUCCAGCCAUCUCUGCAACUGUAUCCCUAACAAUAUUUAACACUCAAAACUAGAUGGUGAAACUGGCACUCAAACAAUUGCUGCCAAUAUGGCAACCAUGACAUAUAUAUCAGAGCCACCAAAUUCAUCAAAUAUAUAUAUUAACUGUUUUAAUGUCAACCCAAAUGUGCAUGUAAAGAUGGAUUUGAAGUUGUAUGUUUUUGUUUCAUGAAAGUUUGCUCACAAGUCAUUACUUACACGUCCAUAAAUGUGUGAAAGCUGCCCACCACUUGGGAGGAGAGAGGGUUACGGAUACCUUGUGGACUUCAACAUUUUUUUUUUUCCUUUUCCACUUGAAGGCUUUACCGCCUACCACGUAGCUCAAAGUCAAAACAGAAAAAGUCCACAAAGCCUUGGCUCAAUGCUACCUUAACCAUGAAUGGGUUUUUUUUGUUGUUUUAGGUUUCGACCCAUGUAACCAACCUUGACCAUGAAUGUUGCUCGAUGUCUUUCUUUAAUUUUGGGGCCAAUGUUGUUGGAUAUCAACUAUUAUUGGGAUCAGAGACCAUAAUUUCAACAAUUAGUUGAAAGGAAAAAGAAAACAAGGAGAUAGUAUUAGUAACGAUUGUAAAAUGAAUUUCAAGAAUUUGUUUUUAAUAACGUUGUCUACGAUAUAUAAAUCCAAAUUAUCAUUCGCAUGAGUUGCACCAGUUAUAUAAGCAAACCCAUUGAUGCACAUUACACUCCGCAGAACUAUUGGCAUUGCCAGGCAACAGCCAUAAAAAUCCCAACUAUUUGUUUAACUCGCUCACACCUUUUGGACCCUAUACAAUAUCACAACUCUCACAUCAUGAGAAGAUUCACACAACAUUAGUUACAUUACCCAAAACAGAGAAAACUAUUAGUUAUAUGCAUUCAAUAUAUGUUUCCAAGGUUGCAUUCUUAUUGGAGAUGGAGAGUGAAUGUUUUUAGAUGUGAGGCUGCAUCACUUUGUGGCUGCUUCAAAAGCUCUCAAGAACACCUCAGGCGGUUGACCGCCACUUAGUUCCUGCUUUCCAUUAUUAAUCUGCCAAAACAGCCAAAUGAUUCAUAAGUAAUGGGUCUAUUAAUUGGGCUAAUCAAACGAAAGUUCAAUUUUCAUAAUGUGAGUUUUCAUCACCCACCAGAAAAUGUGGGACUCCAUUUAUGUCUUUCGUGUACUUCUUGAGCUCUUCAUUGACCUUCAUUUUACAUAACGAACAAGGUCAGUUCUAUCAAAGAUAUUGAAGAAAUUCUAAUUUUAGGAAAAGGAGCACAGUAAAAUGUACACAAUGCUCAAUUUGGUCGCAAGAAAACAGAAUCUUAUGAUUUGAAUCAGUUAGCUCAACAGUUCAACUCCAAUCUUCAAAUACUCAGCCAAAAAUAGUGACACAAAGGAAUCAGUGAACAGACCUCAUUGAGUCCAUUGUUGGGGUCUUCAAGAAACUCUGCCGCCCCUUCUACUCCAAUCUUUCUAGCACUUUCCAAAAGAAAUUCCCUGUAUCCAAAUUGCAAAUAUUUGUGCCUCUUAAUUCAGAUUUUAGAAUGUAAAAACAUUUAAUUCUAGGCUGUUCUUCCAUAAAAGUUAAAACUACCCGUAACCAUUUUCAGGAAAUAUAUGUUUUGACGUCCCUUCUUUACCUUAUCAUCUUAGGGGUAAGGAAGUGUCAUAUAUUGGUUUACUCUGAUCAGGAACAUAUAUAGCAUCCAAUUCUCAACAAACACGAUCGACAAAUACAACAUGCUUGAUGCUUCAGAACUUCAGAAGAGAAAUGAUACAGCAAACUGUGGGCUGACAAUCUUUCAUUUUUCAUUUGACUGGUGAGUUUUACAGGAAAAGACAGAAGCACACUCUCUCAUAUACCAUGUGAUAUUUGAAAAGAAGUAGAAUGUUUACAUUUAACACAUGCCGCAAACUUGUAGAGAAGAAAUCACUAUAUACAACCUUAAGGUAAACAGAUAUAAAGGUAAUCAAAAAGUGACCUAAAACUGUGCUUAAUUACCUGUCCCCAAUGUAUUUUUCCUGUGUGAAGUAUCCAAGAAAUAGCUCACCAACAAGCUCAUGUUGCUUCUCAUGACCCUGAAGCCCAGCAAAAUAUAUAAGCCUGUGGCUAUCUAGAGUAUUCCCCCUGUACAUGUUUGACACAAUGUUAAUACAUAAACUAUCAUUUAGUUCCUUUUCCAGGCCUUCCCUCCAUUAUCAAUCUGUUGUUUACAGUGUACACUGUCAGAAUAACAAUGAAAAAGAAAAAGUAAUAUCCUUUCAACUUACGUGAGUCCGGACAGGUUAUAUUCCAGGCCAUGGCCUCUGAAAAUCUGCAAUUUUCAAAGGGGACAGAAUGAAUAACUAGACAGACCCGACAACAUCUUGCAACCAAAUCAAGGCCAUUCAUUUAGCACACCAUACUAUGACAGAGGUAAGCAUAUAUGUUAAUGUUGUACUUUUUAUAUAUAGACAGAUCCAUAGAAUUACACGAAUACCUCUGACAUCCGAGACUCCAUCCGUCCAGACAUGCCAGACCCAAAUUUUUCCUCAUAAUACCUUUUCUUAUCAACACCUUCUUUAGGGGCAUUAGGAUUAAGUUGAAAUGGAUGCCAUCUAACCUGCAAAAAAUUUAUACACUAACAAUAGUUUUGGAUGGAACAACAAUUUAUGUACAGUGUGACAGUAGUUUAGGAUUGAUGGAACAAAAACUGAUUUAUGUACAGUGACAACAAUAGUUUAAGAUGGAAGAACACAACAACAAAAUCAACAAUGACAACAAGAACAAGAAAGAAGAUAACCUCAAAGUCGUAUCGAUCACGAGAUGCCUCUAAAGCUUUGUCAAGAUUUUUCUUGCCCACAAAGCACCAAGGGCAUACAGUAUCUGAAACGAUAUCAAUUUGGAUAAGCUUUUUCGCAGCUGACCCACCAGCCAUAGUUUUAUGCAGUGUUUUCUGCCACAAAAUUAACACAUCAAAUUGGUGCUCGAUACAAUUCCCGGAAAUUCAGAUAUCAGGGGUCACCCAAUUCACAAUUCAUAUCAUCUUACAAAGAUUGAUGGUUUUAAUAUAAACCCACAAACACACAUACAAAGAUUGAUGAAAUGAAACAAAUGAAAUGAAUCUAAAGUACAAGGCUUUGAUUGCUUACCCGUCUGUCAGUUUAUCAAAGCUGCGACUUGGAGAGUUGGACAAGAGAAGAAGACAAUUCUACGCGUUGUGGCUUUACGGAUACUUCGUGAACGUUUUCAAUUUUCUUCUACCACCUUUUCUGUUUUGUUUUUUUAUCUCUCUCCUGUUCAGGCUUCACCACCUACCACGUACCUCUCAAAGUCGGCGAAAAAAGUCCACAAAGCUAAGCUUGAAAUGACACAUACAUAAGCGUAAAAAUACAUAUGGUAGCGUAAAAACUAUGGCUCCAAGAAAAUCUAUUCUAUAUGUCCACUCAACGUCAUCUCCUUCGUCAAUAUCGUUUGUGUAAAAAUUUUGAAACUUAACUCACUUAUUAUAUGUCACUUCGUUGAAACUUCUCCUUAAAUUUGAAAAAAUAGAAAGAAAAAAAUUGCAAAAAAAGGUUAGAAUUAUGUAGAGUUUACUGAUUUUAUUUUUACUUUUGAUGCGGUGCAAGUUUCAUUCACUGAACCUAGACACUUCUCCUUUCUCAAGUUCAGAAUGUAAUUGUCCAAAUAACUUAUAAAUUCAUUAAUUUUUUACCAAAAAAGAAUUCUAUAAAUUUAUAAAAUUAAAAUAAUUUUAGUAUGGAUUCUAGAAAAUUCUUAAGCGUGAAGCAUGUGGGCCUCAACCACGUAACCCGACCCGACUCCGUCUCCGUCUCCCAGCUUCGCGGAACAUUUCCACCAACUAUAAACGGCAAUUAUAAUUUCGGUUUCUUUCCUCCCUUCCUCCCUUCCUCCCUUCCUCUUUGAGUUUGACUCUUUUCAGGUAUCCACUCUUCUCCAUUUUCUCGGAAAUUCGGUUUUGCUCCUCAUCAGUCAUCUCUGUGUCUCUGUUUGGUUGCCUAGAAUCCAAUCAAACAGAGCUCCACCGCCUCAUUCACCUUUCUCGGCGUUCAAACAAAAGAACAAAUCUUUCAAAGCUUUCAAAUUUCUGCUUCGAUUGGAUCAGAAUUUGCUCAACUUUUGUUUUCAUUCAUUUCCGUGUCAAAUUCGUAGCUGAAUGCAAUCUAUUGCAACCAAACGAAGAACCAAUCUUAUAAAGCUUGCAACUUUCUGCUUCAAUUGAAUUAGAAUUUGCUCAAUUUCUGGUUUCAUUCUUUUCCAUACCGAACACUCGUAGCUAAAAGCAAUAAACGUUUUCAGGGGCAGGCAAUACAUGAAAAUGGACAUAGAUGAACUAUUGGGUCGAAACCGACCAGUGAGCAUUCCGACGAAGAGUGCAAUUUACGUGUGGGGCUAUAACCAGUCUGGGCAGACGGGUCGCAAUGGUAAGGAGCGGCAAUUGAGGAUCCCAAAGCAGCUCAAGCCCGAGCUUUUUGGAUGUACGGCUGGGGCCAAUUCGCGAUGGCUGGACAUUGCCUGUGGCCGCGAGCACACAGCCGCUGUAGCCUCAGACGGAUCGCUUUUCACUUGGGGUAUGCUGGUUUUACAAUUAUAAAGUUUUCAAAUUUGAAUUCAAUUCAUUGAAUAUGGGAUAAUGGGACUGUGAAGUCAAAUUGCCCUUUCUCGUUUUGGAAUUGGUUAUGGUGAUAGAGUAAAUUCAAAGGCAUGUUUGGCUGAUAAGUCCGUCGCUUUUUACUUUUGGAAUUGGUUUUCCAUUUCUGAAUUCAAUCAAUUGCAUAUGGUGGAAAUGAACCGUUUACCGUCUUGAAUAUUGGUUGUUAGUGAUUUUAGUUUGUAUUAAUAGACCUGUGAAAUCAAAUUGCCGGUUCUCGUUUUGGAAAUGGUUGAUUAUAGUGAUAGGAAUAAGCCAUAUGUUUGUGGUGGUUGACAAAGUACAUAUAAAAUUGUGUUUGGUUGAUGUGCGUAUGCUGAGAGCAUUAGAUAACCUGAAUGUGUAAACAAUUGAUCCAGGGGCUAAUGACUUUGGUCAAUUGGGAGACGGAACUGAGGAGCGAAGAAAACAUCCAAAGAAAGUGAAGCAAUUACAGACAGAGUUUGUGAAAUCUGUAUCUUGUGGAGCACAUUGUACCGCUGCUAUUGCAGAACCUCGUGAAAAUGAUGGAUCUGUCUCAACAAGAAGGCUUUGGAUUUGGGGGCAAAAUCAGGUCCUACUAUGAAUUUCUUCAGCAUCAUUCCUGUUUUCAUCCCUUUUUGGCAGAUAGUACUGUAAUUUGUUUACUUUUUUUCUUCCCUGUUUUCUCAUUACAGGGAUCAAAUUUUCCACGUUUAUUUUGGGGCGCCUUCACUCCAAACACGGUAUGCUUUACCUCUUAUUGAUUAUGCAUUCCUUUUAGGUCAGAAUUUUUUGUCUUAGAAUUAUGAUAUUAUUUGGAUAGUAAGAUGAGCUCAUCAGGUUUCAACUAUGGAGAUUUCAUUUAUCAAGUAAAUAAGUUCUCUUAAUAAAAAGCUGAGGCAGUAAUUGAUUUUAAAAACCUUGAUCAAUUGUCAUUAGCUGGGCUGGUUGAUCAAAGUCAAGGGAUUACUUUGAACAGCUACUAGGCUCUGCUGCCACUGCAGGCAAUGCAUUUAAAAGUUUGACAACUAGUCUUAGAUCACAACUCCAAAACCCACAAGAGAAAAAGAUGAAUUCCUGUUGUAUCAAAUGCUUCAUUGAAGAUGGUUAUCAAAUUUAAUACUUGUUACUUACCAAAAAGUUUUUUACAGAUUAUCCGUCAAGUGUCUUGUGGGGCAGUUCAUGUGAUGGCUUUAUCAGACGAUGGCCUGCUACAAGCUUGGGGUAACUGUGAUUCUAGGAUCAUUUGCUAUGUCUACCUCCACCCUUAUAAAUGCAUAUUCCAUUUGUUAGUUUCUUAUAAUAUCAUUUUUCUUUUGAAAGCAGCUUCUGAGUAUAUCUGUUAGAGUUGAUUUUUGUAUUGCAAUUUGGUGAUAGAUACAUAUACCUGACAAUAUGAAUAGAAAACUGAAGCUUGUGUUUUCCCGCCUCUAAUUAAUCAGAAUUAAUUACUGUGCUGGUACACCAGGAUAUAAUGAAUAUGGUCAGCUUGGCAGAGGAUUUACAUGUGAAGGAUUACAGGGGGCUCGUAUAAUAAAUGCUUAUGCGAAGUUCCUUGAUGAUGCUCCUGAGCUUGUGAAGAUUACCCAAGUGUCAUGCGGGGAGUACCACACUGCAGCUAUAUCUGAAAAAGGCGAGGUGUAAGUGAUCUGAAGGAAUUCUUAGAUGGAGAUUAGGUUCUAUAUUUAAGCUUGAGUAUUGUGGUUGUCCGCAUGGCACAUUUAACUCAGAAGGUUUGCAAAAUCUUCGUAUGGGAAUCUCACAUUUUAAGGGAGACAGGAUGCUGCAUUCUGCUACUAUACAUUUCUGAAUUUAUAUUUGUUAUGCAUGAUGCAGCCAGCAAUGGUUGUAGCAGCUGAAAGAUCCUUGCUACAGUUAUCAUACUUUAUUCUUCUUUUGUUUUGUUUAACUUUAGUUUCUUUGCGGAAUUCUUCCUCACAAUAAAUUUAUUUGGCCCUCACAGGUAUACUUGGGGGCUUGGAAACAUGGGUCAACUUGGGCAUUGUUCCCUCCAGUCUGGGGAGAAAGAGUUAUUGCCUAGGAGAGUGGUCGCACUUGAUGGAAUAUUCAUAAAGGAUAUUGCAUGCGGUGGUAUACAUACAUGUGCCGUGACUCAGAAGGGAGCUCUUUAUGCUUGGGGUGGUGGUCGAUCAGGGCAGUUAGGCCUUGGCCCUGACACUGGAUUCUUUUCAUGCACCGCUAAUGAGUCUGAGUCUUUUCUCCGGAAUAUCCCUGCAUUAGUUGUUCCAACUAGUGUACAACUCAUUACAUGUGGACACUCCCACACACUUAUCUCUACAAGGGAUGGAAGAAUUCAUGGAUGGGGCUACAAUAGCUAUGGUCAGGCAUCUAACGAGAAAUCGACUUAUGCUUGGUAUCCAUCCCCGCUUGAUUGGUAAGGCACAAAUAAAUUGUUCAUCAGGUUUUUCUUGGCAAUCUUGAUUAGUAUUUUGAUUGAAGUAUGCAUUGCAGGUGCGUGGGGGAAGUGCGGAAACUUGCAGCUGGUGGUGGCCAUUCAGCCGUGUUGACUGAUGCAUGUUCCUUGAAGGAGUUGUGUGAAUUUAGGCUUGCGGAUAGCGUGAAUCUAAAGAAUGCUUCUGAGAUUGAGGACAUUGCGUCUAGAACAGGUUCAGAUGCUUUAGCACGCCUCUGUGAAAGAUUGAGGUAUUCCUUUCUAUCCAUGGCCUAAUUCCACAUUUAUGUAAUAUUAGUUUUUCUGCCUUCAUAAAAUUAGGAUAAAAUCUACUAAAUUUGAUAGCACUGAAAAUGUUAGUAGAAUCUAUGUCACACACAAUCAAUGGAAUAUAAAUAUAGGAACUGGACUACCUUGAAAGAGCACCAGAGUUUGUCACAUUUUGAGUUAACCUAUGUGUGAGUGUUGUGGCAAUGAUUUAAAAUCUGAAAGGUCCUCAUGUUCAUAGAGGUUCUUUCGUCCAAAGAGCUUUUUAAUUUGUUGAUCACAUAAUAUUCAUUAACUCUGGUGCCUUGGGAGCUUUUGCAGCAGUGUCUCCAUUGGUUUGGAAUUGCUUCUUUGUUCUUUAUGUUUAUCUUUGAUGAAAUACCAUGUUACUUUUUACUUCCUGCAGGCAGCAUGUGCUUGAGGGUGAUGAUUGUGAAUAUGAAGACGAUGAGACCACCAGUAAUAGGAAGUGAAGAAUCAAUUGGACCAGAUUUUAAAAUUGACAAUCAUUAUGUCAAUAAUUUGUCUAUUAAUCACUUUAUUAUUUCCAAUCUGGUUAUGAAUUAGGUAUUGAAAAUUGUUGUAAUCAGAUUGUAAGGGGUUAAUCUCUUGUAGUUAUGUAAAAUUGCUAUUUUGUAACCCUAAUUAAGUCAAGUACACAAUUAGCCAUGUCAAAUUUUCUUCCAAUAUGAUUAGAAUUUAGAAUAUUACAAGUUUGAAGAAACAUUGUUGUUUUUAUUCUUUAUAAUAAUAAAACUUUACAGUAGAGGUAAAUUGAAUGUUAAUUGUGAUCGAUGUAUCUUCUUCGACCUCCACAACUAAAAACAUUAGAAUUUUAUUUGAGAAUAGCCGGCCGGCCAGCAAGCCCAUUAUUCGUUGAAAUGGCGAUACAUCCACAUUGGCAUGAGUGUGUUAGUAGUAGUGGGCGGC